UAGGGAAUCUUCGGCAAUGGACGGAAGUCUGACCGAGCAACGCCGCGUGAGUGAAGAAGGUUUUCGGAUCGUAAAGCUCUGUUGUAAGAGAAGAACGAGUGUGAGAGUGGAAAGUUCACACUGUGACGGUAUCUUACCAGAAAGGGACGGCUAACUACGUGCCAGCAGCCGCGGUAAUACGUAGGUCCCGAGCGUUGUCCGGAUUUAUUGGGCGUAAAGCGAGCGCAGGCGGUUAGAUAAGUCUGAAGUUAAAGGCUGUGGCUUAACCAUAGUAGGCUUUGGAAACUGUUUAACUUGAGUGCAAGAGGGGAGAGUGGAAUUCCAUGUGUAGCGGUGAAAUGCGUAGAUAUAUGGAGGAACACCGGUGGCGAAAGCGGCUCUCUGGCUUGUAACUGACGCUGAGGCUCGAAAGCGUGGGGAGCAAACAGGAUUAGAUACCCUGGUAGUCCACGCCCCCCUCAAAAAAGGAGGGGGGGGNGUUNNACCNUUCCCCGUAACUCACAAAUAACNCCCCGCCNNGNNNGGGGAGUACGACCGCAAGGUUG
rnacentral:rRNA from 1 species